ACCAGCAAAUAGAAAAAUGCUGCAAAAGCACACAAAACAAAACGGAAGUGUUUUUGGGGGGAGACAAUAUUGUGACGGACCAGCUGCGGAAGUGACAGAACCAAGAACAUGCCGUAUGGAGACACUUAAAUGAAACGAAGGAUUUUUCAGAGUUGUGAGGGACAAAAACAUGCAAGACAAUGUAUUGUCCAUAUUGUGGAAUCCAUCUGGUGGGACAUAUUGGAGUUUUUUGUGGUUCGUGUGGCAGCAACAUUCACGUUUUGGCACCUUUUAUAGAGAAUGCCUCUAACCCCGUCUCAGUCACAGACCUCAUAAGUAAAUAUUUCUCAGAGGGCCACACAUAUGAAGUGAUCCUUGAUUUUCUUACAACAAAGCACAAUAUUUGUAUAAGUCUGAGAACAUUAAAGAGGAGGCUAAAAGAUGCUGGACUGACCAGAAGGACAGACUAUGCUCCCACUGAUAUUGUCAGUGACAUUGUUGCACAAGAACUGAGAGGCUCAGGCCAGCUUCUGGGUUACAGAGCCAUGUGGCAGACACUGCAACAAAAAUAUCACCUGACAGUUAAAAGAAAUGAUGUGAUGCACAUGCUCUCUAGACUAGAUCCAUGUGGUGUUCAGCUUCGCUGUAAACGCAGGUUUGUUCAAAGAGGAUACUUUGCAGAAGGACCAAAUCAAGUGUGGCAUGUGGAUGGAUAUGAUA